rnacentral:rRNA from 1 species
CGUACGAGAGGAGGGUACUUCGGUCCCUUAGUAAAGUGGCGCGACGGGUGAGUAACGACGUGGGUAAUCUACCCUUCGGCGGAGGAUAACCAAGCGAAAGCUUGGCUAAUACUGCAUACGUCCCUGAGGUCGCGAGACAGCGAGGGGGAAAGCGGCGUCAGCCGCACCGGAGGAUGAGCCCGCGGCCCAUUAGCUAGUUGGUGGGGUAAUGGCCCACCAAGGCAUCGAUGGGUAGCUGGUCUGAGAGGAUGAUCAGCCACACUGGGACUGAGACACGGCCCAGACUCCUACGGGAGGCAGCAGUGGGAAUUUUGCGCAAUGGGCGGAAGCCUGACGCAGCAACGCCGCGUGUGUGACGAAGGCCUUAGGGUUGUAAAGCACUGUUGAGAGGGAAGAACAAACGGGCUUAAUUACCCGUCCUGACGGUACCUCUUUAGAAAGCACUGGCUAACUCCGUG